rnacentral:rRNA from 1 species
GUAGGUGGCAAGCGUUGUCCGGAAUUAUUGGGCGUAAAGCCCGCGCAGGCGGUCCUUAAGGUCUGAUGUGAAAGCCCACGGGCUCAACCGUGGAGGGUCAUUGGAAGCUGGGGGACUUGAGUACAGAAGAGGAAAGCGGAAUUCCAAGUGUAGCGGUGAAAUGCGUAGAGAUUUGGAGGAACACCAGUGGCGAAGGCGGCUUUCUGGUCUGUAACUGACGCUGAGGCGCGAAAGCGUGGGGAGCAAACAGGAUUAGAUACCCUGGUAGUCCACGCCGUAAACGAUGAGUGCUAAGUGUUAGGGGGUUUCCGCCCCUUAGUGCUGCAGCUAACGCAUUAAGCACUCCGCCUGGGGAGUACGGCCGCAAAGGCUGA